UUCUGUGAUCCUUGUCGGCGUGAAUGCAAAUAGUCUGAUCUUGGAAGCUAAUAAGGCAAGCCCAUGAUUCGUACUUGGAUGGAGACCUCCUUGGAAGUCCAAGUGUUGUUGGCU
rnacentral:rRNA from 1 species